rnacentral:sRNA from 1 species
AACCAUACCGGACAGCAAUGGGAUGCGCCCAAUGGCUGGGCGCCAUUGCAAUGGAUGGCCAUUAAAGGU